GUGGGGAAUCUUAGACAAUGGGCGCAAGCCUGAUCUAGCCAUGCCGCGUGAGCGAUGAAGGCCUUAGGGUUGUAAAGCUCUUUCAGCUGGGAAGAUAAUGACGGUACCAGCAGAAGAAGCCCCGGCUAACUCCGUGCCAGCAGCCGCGGUAAUACGGAGGGGGCUAGCGUUGUUCGGAAUUACUGGGCGUAAAGCGCACGUAGGCGGAUCAGAAAGUCAGAGGUGAAAUCCCAGGGCUCAACCUUGGAACUGCCUUUGAAACUCCUGAUCUUGAGGUGGAGAGAGGUGAAUGGAAUUCCGAGUGUAGAGGUGAAAUUCGUAGAUAUUCGGAGGAACACCAGUGGCGAAGGCGGCUCACUGGCUCGAUACUGACGCUGAGGUGCGAAAGCGUGGGGAGCAAACAGGAUUAGAAACCCGGGUAGUCC
rnacentral:rRNA from 1 species